rnacentral:rRNA from 1 species
CUGGGUUCAGAACGUCGUGAGACAGUUCGGUCCCUAUCCGUCGCGGGCGCAGGAAAUUUGAGAGGAGCUGUCCUUAGUACGAGAGGACCGGGAUGGACGUUCCGCUGGUGUACCAGUUGUGCCGCCAGGCGCAUCGCUGGGUAGCUAUGAACGGAAGGGAUAAACGCUGAAAGCAUCUAAGUGUGAAGCCCCCCUCGAGAUGAGAUUUCCCAUUCCUAUAUGGAAGUAAGACCCCUGAAAGAUGAUCAGGUAGAUAGGCUGGAAGUGGAAGUGCAGCGAUGCAUGGAGCGGACCAGUACUAAUCGGUCGAGGACUUAACCAA